rnacentral:tRNA from 1 species
GCCGGGGUGGCGGAACUGGCAGACGCACGGGACUUAAAAUCCCGGGCCCGCAAGGGCGUGUGGGUUCGAUCCCCGCCCCCGGCA